GUCGAACGAGAAAGUGGAGCAAUCCAUGAGUAAAGUGGCGACCGGGUGAGUAACACGUGACUAACCUACCUUCGAGUGGGGGAUAACCUCGGGAAACCGAGGCUAAUACCGCAUAACAUCGCAAGAUCAAAGCAGCAAUGCGCUUGAAGAGGGGGUCGCGGCUGAUUAGCCAGUUGGCGGGGUAACGGCCCACCAAAGCGAAGAUCGGUAGCCGGCCUGAGAGGGCGCACGGCCACACUGGAACUGAAACACGGUCCAGACUCCUACGGGAGGCAGCAGUGGGGAAUUUUGCGCAAUGGGGGAAACCCUGACGCAGCAACGCCGCGUGGAGGAUGAAGCCCCUUGGGGCGUAAACUCCUUUCGACCAAGACGAUAAUGACGGUACUGGUGGAAGAAGCACCGGCUAACUCUGUGCCAGCAGCCGCG
rnacentral:rRNA from 1 species